rnacentral:rRNA from 1 species
UACGUAGGGUGCGAGCGUUGUCCGGAAUUAUUGGGCGUAAAGGGCUCGUAGGCGGUUUGUCGCGUCGGGAGUGAAAACCUCGGGCUUAACUCGGGGCUUGCUUUCGAUACGGGCAGACUGGAGGUAUGCAGGGGAGAACGGAAUUCCUGGUGUAGCGGUGAAAUGCGCAGAUAUCAGGAGGAACCCCGAUGGCGAAGGCAGGUCUCUGGGCAUUAACUGACGCUGAGGAGCGAAAGCAUGGGGAGCGAACAGG